rnacentral:rRNA from 1 species
AAGCUCGUAGUUGAAUUUCGGGAUUAAUUUAUUGGUCGUGCUAUUGUACGUACUGGUAUUAUUGAUUCCUACCUUCUGACGAACCACGAUGUCAUUAAUUUGGUGUCAUGGGGAAUCAGGACUGUUACUUUGAAAAAAUUAGAGUGUUUAAAGCAGGCUCACGCUUGAAUACAUUAGCAUGGAAUAACGAAAUAGGACGUUUGAUUCUAUUUUGUUGGUUUCUAGGAUCGACGUAAUGAUUAAUAGGGAUAGUUGGG